AACUGCUUUUAUGUGGGAAUAAAGUGAGCUACGUGUAGUUUAUUGCAGGUACCACAUGAAUAAGGACCGGCUAAUUCCGUGCCAGCAGCCGCGGUAAUACGGAAGGUCCAGGCGUUAUCCGGAUUUAUUGGGUUUAAAGGGAGCGUAGGCCGUGGAUUAAGCGUGUUGUGAAAUGUAGACGCUCAACGUCUGAAUUGCAGCGCGAACUGGUUCACUUGAGUAUGCGCAACGUAGGCGGAAUUCGUCGUGUAGCGGUGAAAUGCUUAGAUAUGACGAAGAACUCCGAUUGCGAAGGCAGCUUACGGGAGCACAACUGACGCUGAAGCUCGAAGGUGCGGGUAUCAAACAGGAUUAGAUACCCUGGUAGUCC
rnacentral:rRNA from 1 species